GAAAUGCGAUAAGUAAUGUGAAUUGCACAAUUCAGUGAAUCAUCGAAUCUUUGAACGCACAUUGCGCCCGCCAGUAUUCUGGCGGGCAUGCCUGUUCGAGCGUCAUUUCAACCAUCAAGCCCCCGGCUUGUGUUGGGGACCUGCGGCUGCCCGCAGGCCCUGAAAAACAGUGGCGGGCUCGCUGUCACACCGAGCGUAGUAGCAUACAUUCUCGCUCAGGGCGUGCUGCGGGUUCCGGCCGUUAAACGACCUUCAUAACCCAAGGUUGACCUCGGAUCAGGUAGGAAGACCCGCUGAACUUAAGC
rnacentral:misc_RNA from 1 species